AUGAAAAUAAUCCAUGAAGCUAUUGACAUGAUACGUGAGCUGAUGAAGUAUAUUGACUCUUCUCCUUCAAGACUUCAAGAUUUCAAUACAAUUGCAAGUGGGAUGGGUCUACGUGCAAAGAAAGGCAUCUCUGUUGAUACACCAACCAGAUGGAACUCAACCUGGAAAAUGCUUGUAGAAGCAUUGACGUACAAAUCUGUUCUCACUAGUUAUGCCAACAGAAAGAUGAUAGAUUCUCCAAGUGAGGAGGAAUGGGAGAAGGCAAAAGCUAUUUGUGAGUUUCUAAAAGCUUUUGAAGAGCUUACUUUGAUUGUUUCGGCUCAUACAUUGAAAGAUCCGGGUUGG
rnacentral:rRNA from 1 species